rnacentral:rRNA from 1 species
AUUGAACGCUGGCGGCACGCCUAACACAUGCAAGUCGAGCGGUAACAUGUGCUGUAGCAAUACAGCAUGAUGACGAGCGGCGGACGGGUGAGUAACACGUAGGAACCUGACUUUAAGAGGGGGACAACCAAGGGAAACUUUGGCUAAUACCGCGUAAUCUCGAGAGAGUAAAGCUGCCGUAAGGUGGCGCUUAAAGAGGGGCCUGCGUCCGAUUAGCUAGUUGGUGAGGUAAUGGCUCACCAAAGCGAUGAUCGGUAACUGAUCUGAGAGGACGACCAGGCACACUGGGACUGAGACACGGCCCAGACUCCUACGGGAGGCAGCAGUGGGGAAUAUUGGACAAUGGGAGCAACCCUGGUCCAGCGAUGCCGCGUGAGUGAAGAAGGCCCUCGGGUCGUAAAGCUCUCUAGGUUGGGAAGAAGUGUAUUAGAGGAUAAUGCUAGUACAUUGACGGUACCAACAGAAUAAGCACCGGCAAACUCUGUGCCAGCAGCCGCCGUAA